rnacentral:rRNA from 1 species
UGGGGAAUAUUGCACAAUGGGCGCAAGCCUGAUGCAGCCAUGCCGCGUGUGUGAAGAAGGCCUUCGGGUUGUAAAGCACUUUCAGCGGGGAGGAAGGCGUUAAGGUUAAUAACCUUGGCGAUUGACGUUACCCGCAGAAGAAGCACCGGCUAACUCCGUGCCAGCAGCCGCGGUAAUACGGAGGGUGCAAGCGUUGAUCGGAAUUACUGGGCGUAAAGCGCACGCAGGCGGUCUGUCAAGUCGGAUGUGAAAUCCCCGGGCUCAACCUGGGAACUGCAUUCGAAACUGGCAGGCUAGAGUCUUGUAGAGGGGGGUAGAAUUCCAGGUGUAGCGGUGAAAUGCGUAGAGAUCUGGAGGAAUACCGGUGGCGAAGGCGGCCCCCUGGACAAAGACUGACGCUCAGGUGCGAAAGCGUGGGGAGCAAACAGG